AUGUAUUCACAAGUUUGCAUUUGUGUAUAGCGCCCUCUGUCAGAUGACUUUGGAGAACACAACUGAGCCACGAACAAACACACAUUAGCACAUGUAAAAUCCCUUCAUGUCAGACAUCUUUGGACGAUAUUUUCUGAGAAUCGCUUGAGGUUUUGUCUCUUUUGAGACCCAACAAACUGAAUUAAGAGGGAAAGGAUGCAAGGAGUUUUCACGAAGCCACUGCGGAUUAUUUCACAAGCCACUGCGAACCAUUUCAUGGAAGACUUGCGAAUCAUUUUCAUGGAAUAAAUGCGAGAUGUUAUAAUCAA
rnacentral:lncRNA from 1 species